CACGUAGGGGACGAGCGUUGUCCGGAUUCAUUGGGCGUAAAGCGCGCGUAGGCGGCUCGGAAAGUCGGUCGUGAAAUGCCGGGGCUCAACCCCGGGACUGCGUCCGAUACUCUCGAGCUGGAGGCAGGUAGGGGAGAUCGGAAUUCCUGGUGUAGCGGUGAAAUGCGCAGAUAUCAGGAGGAACACCGGUGGCGAAGGCGGAUCUCUGGGACGGUACUGACGCUGAGACGCGAAAGCGUGGGGAGCGAACAGG
rnacentral:rRNA from 1 species